rnacentral:tRNA from 1 species
UAAUAAGAUGCCUGAUAUAAGGGCAGAAUUGAUAAAACUGUUAGGUAUUGUUUACUCUUGUUA